GUAGUCGGAUUCACAUCAAUCUACAUGUAUUAAGGUGUAUUGGAGUAGAAUUUGAACUAAAUUUCACCUCAAUCCAUAACAAUACAUAUAGAUUGAAGUGAAUCCGACA
rfam:Sorghum bicolor cultivar BTx623 chromosome 1, whole genome shotgun sequence.